rnacentral:rRNA from 1 species
UACGUAGGUGGCAAGCGUUACUCGGAAUCACUAGGCGUAAAGCGCAGGUAGGCGGUUCGGUAAGUCCUUUGUGAAAGCUCCCGGCUCAACUGGGAGAGGCCAAGGGAAACUGCCGAGCUAGAGUGUGGUAGGGGAAACUGGAAUUCCUGGUGUAGCGGUGAAAUGCGUAGAUAUCAGGAGGAACACCUAUGGCGAAAGCAGGUUUCUGGGCCAUCACUGACGCUGAGGUGCGAAAGCCAGGGGAGCAAACGGG